GACGAACGCUGGCGGCGUGCCUAAUACAUGCCAGUUGAGCGCUGAAGGUUGGUACUUGUACCGACUGGAUGAGCAGCGAACGGGUGAGUAACGCGUGGGGAAUCUGCCUUUGAGCGGGGGACAACAUUUGGAAACGAAUGCUAAUACCGCAUAAAAACUUUAAACACAAGUUUUAAGUUUGAAAGAUGCAAUUGCAUCACUCAAAGAUGAUCCCGCGUUGUAUUAGCUAGUUGGUGAGGUAAAGGCUCACCAAGGCGAUGAUACAUAGCCGACCUGAGAGGGUGAUCGGCCACAUUGGGACUGAGACACGGCCCAAACUCCUACGGGAGGCAGCAGUAGGGAAUCUUCGGCAAUGGACGAAAGUCUGACCGAGCAACGCCGCGUGAGUGAAGAAGGUUUUCGGAUCGUAAAACUCUGUUGGUAGAGAAGAACGUGGGUGAGAGUGGAAAGCUCAUCAAGUGACGGUAACUACCCAGAAAGGGACGGCUAACUACGU
rnacentral:rRNA from 1 species